UGAGUCUAGAGCGAGUGAGUGGAGAGCUAUUCGGGACUGAGCGGAGCAAUGCCUAAGUCAAAGGAACUUGUUUCUUCAAGCUCUUCUGGCAGUGAUUCUGACAGUGAAGUUGACAAAAAGUUAAAGAGGAAAAAGCAGGUUACUCCAGAGAAACCCAUGAAGAAGCAGAAAACUAGUGAGACUUCGAGAGCUCUGUUGUCAUCCAAGCAGAGCAGCAGCAGCAGGGAUGACAACAUGUUUCAGAUUGGGAAAAUGCAGUACGUUAGUGUUCGGGACUUUAAAGGGAGGGUCCUAACUGAUAUUAGAGAAUAUUGGAUGGAUCCAGAAGGUGAAAUGAAACCAGGAAGAAAGGUAUUUCUUUAAACCCCAAGCAGUGGAGCCAGCUGAAGAAACAGAUUUCUGACAUUGAUGAUACAGUAAGAAAACUGUAAAACCAGAGCCAUAUAAAACCUGUACUGUUCUCGUUGUUUUAAUCUGUCUUUUUACAUUGGCUUUUGUUUUCUAAAUGUUGUUUUCCAAGCUGUUGUAUAUUUGGAUACAGAACAGUUUGUAAGAUGAAUACUUUUUUUUAAUGUGCAUUAUUAAAAAUGUUCUGAGUGAAGCUAAUUGUCAACUUUAUUAAGGAGAUUUGCUUUGUGCCCGCCACCUAGUGUAAAAUAAAAGCAAGUAACACAACCUUAACUGUUGUGGCCUUCUUUGAUCAGAAGAAUUGGUACUGCUUAAGGCCCAAAGUAACAGUAUAUAGACCUUUUUAGUUUCAACUCAGCCUUUAUAUUUAAAAGCAUUUGUAUUGCUUUGAAUUUAUCAAGUUUUUGUUUGUGAAAUUCAUAGCUAUGUUUUCUUCCAACCAAAUGUCUAGAGACUUGUUUGAUUGCCCUACCAUGGAGAAACUUUACUUCCCUCCUUUUUUCUUUAUUUCAUUUUCCUUUAAUAACUUACCAUGUUCUGUUUUCAUGUUUUGCUUUUU